UGGGGAAUAUUGCACAAUGGGCGAAAGCCUGAUCCAGCCAUGUCGCAUGAGUGAAGAAGGCCUUUGGGUUGUAAAGCUCUUUUAGUGAGGAAGAUAAUGACGGUACUCACAGAAGAAGUCCUGGCUAACUCCGUGCCAGCAGCCGCGGUAAUACGGAGAGGGCUAGCGUUAUUCGGAAUUAUUGGGCGUAAAGGGCGCGUAGGCUGAUUAAUAAGUUAAAAGUGAAAUCCCGAGGCUUAACCUUGGAAUUGCUUUUAAAACUAUUAAUCUAGAGAUUGAAAGAGGAUAGGGGAAUUCCUGAUGUAGAGGUAAAAUUCGUAAAUAUUAGGAGGAACACCAGUGGCGAAGGCGUCUAUCUGGUUCAAAUCUGACGCUGAGGCGCGAAGGCGUGGGGAGCAAACA
rnacentral:rRNA from 1 species